rnacentral:misc_RNA from 1 species
GAUGAAGAACGUAGCGAAAUGCGAUAAGUAAUGUGAAUUGCAGAAUUCAGUGAAUCAUCGAAUCUUUGAACGCACAUUGCGCCCUCUGGUAUUCCGGGGGGCAUGCCUGUUCGAGCGUCAUUACGACCCUCAAGCUUUGCUUGGUAUUGGACAUUGCCAGUUUCUGGCAGGUCUUAAAAUCAGUGGCGGUGCCAUUUGGCUUCAAGCGUAGUAAUUCUUCUCGCUUUGGAGAUCCAGGUGGUUACUUGCCAAUAACCCCCAAUUUUUUCAGGUUGACCUCGGAUCAGGUAGGGAUACCCGCUGAACUUAAGCAUAUCAAUAAGCGGAGGA